GACGAACGCUGGCGGCGUGCUUAACACAUGCAAGUCGAACGGAAAGGCCCUGCUUUUGUGGGGUGCUCGAGUGGCGAACGGGUGAGUAACACGUGAGUAACCUGCCCUUGACUUUGGGAUAACUUCAGGAAACUGGGGCUAAUACCGGAUAGGAGCUCCUGCUGCAUGGUGGGGGUUGGAAAGUUUCGGCGGUUGGGGAUGGACUCGCGGCUUAUCAGCUUGUUGGUGGGGUAGUGGCUUACCAAGGCUUUGACGGGUAGCCGGCCUGAGAGGGUGAACGGCCACAUUGGGACUGAGAUACGGCCCAGACUCCUACGGGCGGCAGCAGUGGGGAAUAUUGCACAAUGGGCGGAAGUCUGAUGCAGCAACGCCGCGUGCGGGAUGACGGCCUUCGGGUUGUAAACCGCUUUCGACUGUGACGAAGCGUGAGUGACGGUAAUGGGUAAAGAAGCACCGGCUAACUACGUG
rnacentral:rRNA from 1 species